rnacentral:rRNA from 1 species
UACAGAGGUCCCAAGCGUUGUUCGGAUUCACUGGGCGUAAAGGGUGCGUAGGUGGUCGUGUAAGUCUGACGUGAAAUCUCCGAGCUUAACUCGGAAAUGGCGUUGGAUACUAUUCGGCUGGAGGGUUGAAAGGGGGACUGGAAUUCUCGGUGUAGCAGUGAAAUGCGUAGAUAUCGAGAGGAACACCGGUGGCGAAGGCGAGUCCCUGGACAGUUCCUGACGCUGAGGCACGAAGGUCAGGGGAGCAAACGGG